rnacentral:rRNA from 1 species
UACGAGGGGGGCGAGCGUUGUUCGGAAUUAUUGGGCGUAAAGGGUGCGUAGGCGGUUUGGUAAGUCUUGUGUGAAAUCUUCGGGCUCAACUCGAAGUCUGCACGAGAAACUGCCGGGCUUGAGUACGGGAGAGGCGAGUGGAAUUCCUGGUGUAGCGGUGAAAUGCGCAGAUAUCAGGAGGAACACCGAUUGCGAAGGCAGCUCGCUGGAACGUUACUGACGCUGAGACGCGAAAGCGUGGGGAGCAAACAGG